rnacentral:lncRNA from 1 species
AGAUUUAUCAACCUUUCUUUUCUUGUGCAAGAGAGAGGUGAGCGUAACAUAUAUGGAAAUAUAGAUAAUUUAUUAAUGAUGUCACUUGGCUCUUGUCCUAUUGCAGGCUGGGGAGGCAUUGGCUCUCGUCUCCCUUGAGUGGACAUCAGUGGACUCUAGUACUAGCAUAGAGCUCAAAGUCUCAUCCUUCAUUUCGGACACCAAGACCACAGGUCACCGUUGGCAAGCCCGCAUCGUCAAACAAGUGAGGGAUAGAAAAGAGCCCAAGCCUGUUGU